rnacentral:rRNA from 1 species
UACGAAGGGGGCUAGCGUUGUUCGGAAUACUGGGCGUAAAGCGCGCGCAGGCGGUUCUUCAAGUCAGAGGUGAAAGCCCAGAGCUCAACUCUGGAAUGGCCUUUGAGACUAGAGAACUAGGGUACGGGAGAGGUGAGUGGAAUUCCGAGUGUAGAGGUGAAAUUCGUAGAUAUUCGCAAGAACACCAGUGGCGAAAGGCGGCUGUCUGGUCCGGUUCUGACGCUGAGGCGCGAAAGCGUGGGGAGCAAACAGG